UACGUAGGUGGCAAGCGUUGUCCGGAUUUAUUGGGUUUAAAGGGUGCGUAGGUGGUCUAUUAAGUCAGUGCUGAAAUAUCCCGGCUUAACCGGGAGGGUGGCAUUGAUACUGAUAGACUUGAGUAAAGUUGAGGUGGGCGGAAUUGACGGUGUAGCGGUGAAAUGCUUAGAUAUCGUCAAGAACACCUAUUGCGAAGGCAGCUGACUGCGCGAGUAUUGACACUGAGGCACGAAAGCGUGGGGAUCAAACAGG
rnacentral:rRNA from 1 species